GUUGUGACUUGGGCCUGGAGGGCUAAACACUGCAAAAGGAACAGACUGUGCUUGUGGGCUAGGGAACCUGGACUACCAAGAUGGGAAAGUCAGGAAACCCAGUAGGAGGACCGUCCUAAGUAUCAAUAGUCAACCUCAGAUGAUGGCUGGUAAUUUAACCUACUUUUGCCCACCCCUAUAUCUAAAUUGCAUUCGCCCAUCUUUCUCCAAAGUGAGAGCACUGACUAUGAGAAACGACAUCAUAAAGGAUAAAUAAACUAGAAAUUUUUCUGAGCCCUUCAUGCCUUCCUUUUAUUUCCAACGUGCCGUUUCCUAUUACCUGCUCUGAAGCUGCUUGGUCUGUGGACACACGAGUCUUUUUCAAGAGCUGUCGAAGUUUGUCCAAUUCCUCUUGGUAUGACUUGCGAAUUUCAUCCAUCUCCUCCUCAGCCUGGCAGCGCUCUUGAGCUGACUUCUUUUUCCUUUCUGAGAGGUUCUUAGGAACAAGAGAACCAUAAUCAGCUCGAGGGUAAAUGGAGAUGGUGGUGGUGGUGACUGACCUCAAUGAGUCCUUACUUCAUUUCUGAAAACACUGCAUUUUUUAGUUAAUUUUCCCUAUGUAUUUAACAUUCUUGGCUAUUUGGGGGUUAAGAAAAUUGUAACAGGAGGAAAACAAAAGGUUUAACUAUAAUUCUAUUAAGAAGUGGGGAAUAUCUCAACAGUGGACACUUUCAUGCCCAGUUGGGAAAAAAAUAAAUGGGGAUACUCUCUUUAGGUGGUGAUUUGGCAGUCUUGUGAAAAGAUUUCAAAAUAUGCACACCCAGGAGUUCCACAAACUGUAAUUUAUCUUAAGGAAACAAUAAAUCAUGUUCAUGAAGACUAUGUGUUACAAGGAUCUAUAACAAU